rnacentral:rRNA from 1 species
UUUCAAACGGUUUUUUUCGGGAAUGAAGUUUGGAUGAUUUAGUUGCGAAACCGGUGAGUUACCAUGUGAGAAACCUCCCUUUCACAGGAGGAUACCCUUUGAAAACGGCGUUUUAUACUUCAUGACAUCAAAGAUACCCGCAUGGUAAUUUGAUUAAAGAUUUUUUCGGUGAAAGAUGGUCUCGCGUCUGAUUAGCUAGUUGGUAAGGUAGUGGCUUACCAAGGCGACGAUCAGUAGCCGGCCUGAGAGGGUGAACGGCCACACUGGAAACUGAGACACGGUCCAGACUCCUACGGGAGGCAGCAGUGGGGAAUUUUGCACAAUGGGGGAAACCCUGAUGCAGCGACGUCGCGUGAACGAUGAAGGCCUUCGGGUUGUAAAGUUCUGUCCUUGGCGAAGAUAAUGACAGUAGCCAAGAAGCAAGCCCCGGCUAAAUACGUGCCAGCAGCCGCGGUAAUACGUAUGCGGCGAGCGUUGUCCGGAAUUAUUGGGCGUAAAGGGUACGUAGGCGGUUAUGUGGGUCCGUAUUAAAAGGCAUUGGCUCAACCAAUGUUCGGUAUGGAAACUGCAUAACUUGAGUAGAUGAGGGGUAAGUGGAAUUCCUAGUGUAGCGGUGAAAUGCUUAGAUAUUAGGAGGAAUACCAGUGGCGAAGGCGACUUACUGGAAUCUAACUGACGCUGAGGUACGAAAGCGUGGGGAGCAAACAGGAUUAGAUACCCUGGUAGUCCACGCUGUAAACGAUGAGUGCUAGGUGUCGGGAGUCAAAUCUCGGCGCCGCCGCUAACGCAU